rnacentral:rRNA from 1 species
CCCUUAGAUGUUCUGGGCCGCACGCGCGCUACACUGAUGCAUUCAACGAGUCUAAAACCUGGUCUGAUAGGGCUGGGUAAUCUUUUGAAAGUGCAUCGUGAUUGGGAUAGAUGAUUGCAAUUCUUCAUCUUCAACGAGGAAUGCCUAGUAAACGCAAGUCAUCAGCUUGCAUUGAUUACGUCCCUGCCCUUUGUACACACCGCCCGUCGCUACUACUGAUUGGACGUUUAAGCAAGAUUUUUAAACACUGACAGUGUGUAGUUCACGCUAUACUACAGUGAGAAGAAGAAGAUCGAGCUUACUUGUCUAGAGGAAGUAAAAGUCGUAACA